rnacentral:rRNA from 1 species
GACGAACGCUGGCGGCGUGCUUAACACAUGCAAGUCGAACGAUGAAGUUCCUUCGGGAACGGAUUAGUGGCGAACGGGUGAGGAACACGUGAGAAACCUGCCUUUCAUUUUGGGAUAACUCCGGGAAACCGGGGCUAAAACCGAAUACUCCGUCUCGGCGGCAUCGCUGAGCCGGGAAAAAAUUUUGAUGAAAGAUGGUCUCGCGGCCUAUCAGCUAGUUGGUGAGGUAAGGGCUCACCAAGGCAACGACGGGUAGCCGGCCUGAGAGGGCGACCGGCCACACUGGGACUGAGACACGGCCCAGAACCCUACGGGAGGCAGCAGUGGGGAAUAUUGGGCAAUGGGCGCAAGCCUGACCCAGCGACGCCGCGUGAGGGAUGAAGGCCUUCGGGUUGUAAACCUCUUUCAGUAGGGAAGAAGCGAAAGUGACGGUACCUAAAGAAGAAGCACCGGCUAACUAUGUGCCAGCCGCCGCCGUAA